AAUCAAGUGCCUUAAGGGUGUUCGGUGGAUGCCUUGGCGCUGAGAGGCGAUGAAGGACGUGCUACGCUGCGAUAAGCCGUGGGGAGCUGCGAAGAAGCUUUGAUCCGCGGAUUUCCGAAUGGGGAAACCCACCUUCGAUAGCCGGAACUCCAAGACCUUGGUUUUGGGGUUCGAUUGGGAGACCGAGAGAAUUCAAGGCCGUGAGGUUUUGGAUUUCCGGUUAUCAAGAGAAGGUAUGAGAUCUCUGAAUACAUAGGAGGUUUCAAGCAAACCCAGGGAACUGAAACAUCUAAGUACCUGGAGGAAAGGACAUCAACCGAGACUCCGCUAGUAGUGGCGAGCGAACGCGGACCAGGCCAGUCAUGAAUGUAAGCCAACCAGAACCUGUCAGGAAAGCAGGGCCUCAGAGGGUGAUAGCCCCGUAUGGGUAAUGCGAACAUUCAUGCUCGAGUACGGCGG
rnacentral:rRNA from 1 species